rnacentral:lncRNA from 1 species
GGCUCAGCAGUAAUGAACCCAACUAGUAUACUUGAGGUUGCGGGUUCGAUCCCUGGCCUUGCUCAGUGGGUUAGGGAUCCAGUAUUGCUGUGAGCUGUGGUGUAGGUUACAGAUGUGGCUUGGAUCCCACAUUGCUAUAGCUGUGUUAGUCGCAGGUCUGAUUCACCCCCUUCACCUGGGAACUUCCACAUACUUUAUAAAUUGUGCACAUGUACCAUCUCUCCAAGCGAUUCCCAUCUUAUAAUCAAGGUACCCAUUUCAUUGCCACAUUCCUCAGAGCUAUUGUUUAAUUGAUGGUGCCUACAAUCAUCAGCGAUUCCCAACUCAGAAAAUAUUCCUUAUCUGGACCCUUGUUUGAGUUUCUAAUCAUUCAUGUCUUUUCUGCUGGAAGAUCUGCUUGAAGAUUUCCUGGUGGUGCUAUUUGCAUAUCUGCGUAUACAUGAUUACCACGGUUGGAAUUAAACCAGAGCACCUGUGAGGGUCACCUUCGGGUCUUAGAAAAAUCAGAGAGUAGUGCAUUGCAUCAAAGGGAAGCGUAACAAUGAUCUGGUAUAAUCUUCAGGAACUUCCUUGUUUCUGCUUUCCAGUUUGCACGAUUCAGACUGUUGCUAUGUAAGCCAAGAGGCAUAAUAGAAAUGUUGUUAAUAAUUCUUUUUUUUUUUUUUGGCUUUUUAGGGCCGCACCCACAGCAUAUGGAGGUUCCCAGGCCAGGGGUCGAAUCGGAGCUGUAGCCACCGGCCUACACCACAGCCACAGCAACACAGGAUCCAAGCCAUGUCUGCGACCUACACCACAGCUCACAGCAACACCGGAUCCUUAACCGACUGAGCGAGGCCAGGGGUGGAACCUGCAACCUCAUGGUUGCUAGUCGAAUUCGUUUCUGCAGCGCCGCAAUGGGAACUUCCUGAACCAGAUAAUUCUGUUGUGAAGGACUCUUCUCCACGGUGCAGGCUCUUUAGUGGUAUCCUCGUGCCAGUAGUAUUGCCUGAGGCACAACAGCCAUCUCUAGGCAUUUCUAGAUGCCCUCUGGGAGGGGCAAAAUCAUUCUCCAUUGAGAACCACUUCUUUAGUAUGUCAUAAUCAGGGACUCGCGGUGCUGUUUUAGCUUUGUAUUGGAGCUGGAUUGCAAAUGUGUCCAAUUCUAAAGGCAUAGCUUUCAGGAUGAGAUCUUUCUAAUCCCAUAGUUCUUACACCACAAUUAAAAAUAAUAUUAUGGGAGUUCCUGCUGUGGCUCUGUGGGUUAAGGACCUGACAUUUUCUCUGUGAGGACAUGGGUUAGAUCCCUGGCCUCGCUCAGUGGAUUAAGGAUCUGGCAUUGCCACAAGCUGCUGGGUGGGUUGCAGAUGUGGCUCAGAUCUGGCAUUGCUGUGGCUGUGGCAUAGGCCAGCAGCUGCGGCUCCUGUCCCACCCCUAGUCUGGGAACCUCCAUGUGCUGCAGGUGCAGCUAUAAAAAGAAAAAGAUAUUAUGGAACCAGAGUUAAAAGUCUAAAUAAUUAUAUUUUUACUCAGCCAAAUAUGUGCAAUUCGGACAUAAUAUGUUAUUUGGGAGUGGAGUCGGGUGGGGGUAGUUUACACUUUGAGGGCCUUGUUUUAUUUGUUUAAAGCUUACUUAGCAGCUCAGCUGGUUUUUAAAUAUACGCUUACGGGAAUCUUAAUGUCGCAGAAGACUCCCACUCAGUUGCUACAAGAAUUAAUAGCCUUUUGGCGACAUGUGGAAACGUAAAUGAAGCACAACCAAUGAGUUCAUUUCUCAUUUUAUAGGAACAGAGAAAAAAGUGCCAUUCUUAUGUUCUUUGCUGAUAGUACUUGACAUUUUAGUGUUACUUAUUACAAUAGUAUAUUGGUCUAUCAUUAGGAUAGUAUAUUGGUUUAUCAUUAUGAUUGUUUAUUGGUCUAUCAUUACGAUCGAUUAUUGGUCUAUCAUUAGGAUAGUAUAUUGAUCUAUCAUUAGGAUAGUAUAUUGGUUUAUCAUAACGAUAGGAUAUUGGUUUAUUAUUAUAAUAGUAUAUUGGUUUAAUGUUCCCUUAAUCUCUGUGCUUUACUCAAAGUUUCUGAAAAUGGGAAGAAUAUGUGUUCUGUCGCAGUUAAGCUAAGAAGGGGCAUUUCAAAAUCACUUUAAUUGUACAUGGUUGUAUCUUCUAAAGUGGUAUUUUACAAUGCUGCUGCCUGGGAAGACUGAAGAUUUCACAGAUGUACUUAGAUGGAGGACUAAUAUAUGACACCAUUAAGAGAACCAUAUUUAAAAUUCCCUUUUGCUAUUACUAUUUUCUUCACCCAAUGCCUCCUGACUCAAAGUGUUGCAUAUAGCUCAAAUGAGAUCCAUAUUAUUUCAUUAAGUAGAGCUUUCUUUCGUGUCACUGUGAUGUCCAGGAAUAUUUAACAACUUCCAGUUGUCUCAAGUCCUUUCUUCUUCAUGGCCCUUAAAGCCCUCUACUAACUGGGCCGCAGUCCAUCUUUUCAGAGGUAUCUUCUUUACCUGCCUUUGACCCGUCCGCAUAUCACAUCCCAGCUGCAAUGAACGAGGUGGCCUGGUGCGUCCUUGCAUUUUUCAGCCUUUAUAGCUCUUCACUCUGCUAUGAUCUCAACCCCUCAGAUUCCAAUCCAUGCUGAAGGGUCAUUUCUUUGAUGAAAUUUCCCCAAAUUUUCUCUGUUGGAAUUAACCUUUCUCUGUCUUCUAUAAUGUUUAGAAAGCACUGCAGUUGUGCUUUUCCAACUCUCUAUGAGAAGGAUUAUAUAUUUUUAAAAAAUUUCCUAUUUAUUACGGACUAAUGUGUAUCUUCCUGUCCGUUAGAUCUCACCAUAUGAAAUUCACAUAUCAUAUCUGACUGGUCCAGACCCCAUUCAAUGAGCCAAGGCCACCUGGUCACACAUUUGAAUAGUGUAGCUACGUCCAAUGGUGUUCAAGUGUCUAAAUGAUUACUUGCAAUCUCUGUACUUGUCCUAUUAUUGUCUGAUAAAAAAUAGUUCCUAAGGUAGUGCUGAUACACAGACCACACCACUCUACCCUGGACUAUAAGCUUCAUGAGGACAGGGUCUAGGUCUGCUUUUUUCGUCAUCAUAUUUCUUGCACCUAGCAUUCUCUGUAUACUUACUCCACAUAGAAGUAUCAUACACAGAUAACAGCAGCUAACAGCACCAAAGUCAUUGAUCACAUUUUUUAGCACCUAUAGGAUUAUCAUGCCUAACCUGUAUAAAUGAGAUAUAGCAGAUGAAAAAAAUAGGAAUGAAUGAGAAUAUCAGACUAAUUUAUUUUAAAAACACAUGCUCUUUAGUAUCAACUCUACUGAAAUGAAACAUAUGCCCAGCCUGCUGGGGCUGGUAUAGCCUUUAUAAGCGAAGCUCACUUGAUCAAUAAUUUAAUUUUCUUUCCCUAGAUAGUUGUAAAAACUCACUGUAUUCAGCCUCAUUUAAGUAAAAUAAAGGGCGCGUCAAAGAAAUCUAAAGCAUUUUGUCUGUUAAAUAGCAAUAUUGAGAAAUUGUCUGAGAGACAAUAUUCCUAGCAGAAAAAUCCUCCACAAAACCAAAACUAUAUUUAAAACCAAAGUGGCUUUCUUUUAUGCAGCUCAAGGGGAUACACUGAAACUCUUAUGUGGUCUAAAAUUGUAUUUUUGAAAAUGAGAAUUAACAUCUACCACUGUAAUUUUUACUGGGAAAAACACCUGGGAUAUGAGUAACAUUUGUCAAAAUUUAAAAUGUAAUAAAUUCAGAAUAAGUUACUUGACAAUGCUCUUUGAACACAGAUUUCCAGCUUUUAGUCGUUGAAGAGUGUCUUUCUGAAGUGGUAAGCUUUAGUGGUAGUUACGAAUGUUCAUGGUUUUCAUUGACCAUUUCAUUAUAUUAAAGUUAACAGCCAAGAAAAACAAGAACAUUUACUAUAUGCUUUUCCCACCAUAUUAUUAGCCACUUAAUUUUCCAUGGAACAUUUGUUAUUUCUGGAAAACAUAUGGCAUAUGACCAGAACCAUAAUUAGUAACAGUUUGAUGUUAUAGGAAUUCAAAUUUUGGCAACUUCUAGCUUCUGCCUCUGAAAUAUAAAAGCAUGGAUACAGAUGCUAAUGGUGCAUUCUAGCGUCAGAUUUUCCGUCCUUUUCCCUCAAACUGUGGUAUUACUUGUUUUGAUAGGGAGGUGUUUCAAGAGUCACACUUACAUAGCUUGGCGCCAAACACAGAAGGUUCUAGAAGGAGGCAUUGUUCUAAGCACUUUACACACAUCAACUUAUUUAAUCAUUGCAAUAACAGGUGAGAAGACAGAGGCAUGAAGACAUUAAUUUGCCAAAGUCACUUAAAUGAGAAAUUGUAUAGUUAAGAUUCACCUCAGGGAAUCUGGCUUUGGAUUCUGUGCUCUUUCAUACAGUAACAUCUUAUGCUGGAUUGCUCUUCUAAGUAGAGAUUUCAUUGGUAGAAUCUUGCUGAAGAGGUUAUUUUCUUGCAGAUUGUUUCCACCUAAUACUUUGUAGCUGGGAAAUGCUGAGUAACUGAGGCAUAUGAAUGCUGAGUAGCUAGGGAAUGCUGGGUAACUGGGGGGACCGGUGAGAAGCCAUAAGUUGGCAGCUUACUCUGAGCAGUUUUCUAGCAUCUGUCAAUCAAAGGAUUGUUGUCUGCAGUUUAAGAUCUGAGACUGUCCUACAGAGUCAGUUGCUCUCAAACAGGACCCCUAAAAGCAGUGUUAUCUUUGAAUUGGAAGGAUGAAUAUUUGUAGUAAUCACUUACGCAUUGUGUUGGAAGCCAUGGUUGCUGAGGCUAACUAUUCACAGAAGUAAGGGAUCCUAUGUUACUAAUGGAGUUAUUAAGGACUGAAAAUGUGACAUUGCUUAGCAACAUGCAUCAUAGCAUUUAAUCUUUUGAGCAGAAGCAGCAAAAGUAACUAGUAUGUUUUACAAGUGUCCUGGCAGGUAUUUUUAGUUUCUUUUCCAACUGGCAAUACUUGUAUCCAUUGUCAUGGUAUUAGCAAAAUGUUUAGACUGUUGGUGGUGGGGGGAGGGGACAUUGCCUUAAAUUCAGAGUUCAGCCUUGAAAGCUGGCAUUAACCCAGCGUAGAACCAAAAGAAAUUUAGCUGUAGGUAAGAAAAAGUAGUAAAUGACUCCUACAACCCUAAAGUUGUAUGUAAGGCUCCUGAUUGUCACCACUGGCAAGUAUGUGGUGGUACUGAGGUCACCCCUGUGAGAUGUGGGAACUUGCUAUGAUACUCUUCAGACUUCUUGUUUUGUUGGCUUUUGUUUUUCAGGCACUAGAAGAGUCCAUAGUAACUAAAAGCAAACAUAAUCCCUCUUCCUAAUGAAAAUUUAUACUUUUACUCAGAACGGUGCGGUGUUCUCCUGUCAUUACACUUCACGAUGUGUAUUGGAGAAUGAAUUCCUAUCGGGAGAAUUUGAUCCGGAUGGACUUCUACCCAAGCCUUCCAUUCUUCUGCAAUGUACAGUUAAAAUAGUAACUGUACAUCUGAGAAUCCUGGCAUUCUUCUACUGUCUUCCUUUUGUCUGCCUCCAAAGUCAUCCUAGCCUGGUGUCUUAAAUUUUGGUGUUCUAACUUGACAUCUGCUUUGAAGGAGAGCAAGAAAUCCCAGGAGCUGGGGCUGUCUUAAAGGAAAGGCUGUCCCUAAAGAGGCUUGAGCAGUUGUGGAGGAAAGGGACCCUCAUCUUCCUUCAUGAAAACAAUGGGGGAAAGAAUCAUUUUAUCCCUAGAACAGAAGCAGCGGUUCAUCCUGGAGGGGGAGAUGUUCACUAGGGAUUGUCAUCCAAUGACUAAUGCCUCUUUAGUCCCAAGACUGAUGGGGAAACUUUUGGGAUCUGAAUGAGCGGAUUGUUCAGUUCUUGUCCCUCUUGGGGAAGGGUCCUGGAAUAUGUAAAUCUUCCUCCUGUAGUUUCAGAUUUCAGUGCUUUCCACACCCUUGACUUUGCUUUUGCUUUGUUGUGUCCUAGAAUCACUAAUGAAUUAUGGACCCACUUCCUUCUGUGCACUUGCUAAUUGGAUCUUUUGGAAAAUUGCUCCAUGCUGGUUUAAAUAAUGAGGAGAGAAUUAAAACGCAGAGAGGUGCGGGGAAAGAUAGACCAUGACCAUUGGAAAUCCAGCAAAUACCAUCCCAGAUGUUUAUUACUCCAAUAAUCCAUGGAGACAGAGGACUGGGGCAGUGGGUUAGAAAAAAUACUCACAAUGAAGUGACAAAAGGGACAGGGUCAGCAAGAAGGUCUGUUGUUGAGGAGAGCAUUUUUAUGGAAGGAAAGCCUGUUUGCAGGCUGUAGAGGCUGGGCAGCUCUGGCCAGCUAAUGCCUCCUGUUGAAGAGGUGGAUGGGGAAGGGGUGGCAGUGUUCCCCGAGAACAGGGGAAGAGCUAGGACUUGGAGUUCAACCUACUGACAUCCGUGUCUGGACUCUGCCUGUACUAACUCUGGGAUUUAAAGCAGAUGACUUUAGCUCUCUGAGCAUCCAGCUCUUCAGCUGGGAAAUGAGAAAUAAUAGUACUUGUCUCGGAAUUGUGGUGAGGAGUAAGUGGGAUCAAAUUGGUGCGUGUCUAGACCACUUCCUGGCACGUAGCAAACUCUCAGGACCGGGUAGCCUUUAUUAUUAUGUAGUUAUGUUGUCAGUGUAAUGAUUUAGUAACAAUAAAGAUAUUAACAACAGGUAAGGUACUUAGCCUGAUGCAACUCAGAAAGGAUUGGCUUUGAAAUAUGCUGUAUGAAGAUCAUUAUUCCCAUUCUGUUUGCUGGCAAGUUUGUUUUCUCUCCUUAUUCCGCCCCCGCUUCUCUUUUCCUCUCAGGGAGGGAGAGGAAUUUAGAAAUUGGUUAAGAAAAGUGCAGCUGUUCAGCUGGGGCCUUUGGUUAUUGGAAAGGAAGCCACCGGAGCACAGCUGGCCAAAUAACCCAUGGAAACCAUUCCCAAAGUGCACUCUGUCUUCUUGUGCUGCCACUUAUGUCAUUUAGACAUCGGUGAUUUGCAAUUUCAGAGUCUAGAUUUUUCUCCCCCUUUAGAACGCACGUUUCCAAAAUGGCAAGGAUUUCUGUCUCGAUCAUUCACUGCUAUUUCCAUAGCAUCUAGAACUAUGCCAUGCACAUAUAAGUGUCCCAUGAUUAUUUUUUGGAGGAAGGAGGGAAGGAAAGGACCAAUGAACUUCACCCAGCAAAGUCU